UGGUGGUCCGAGUGCAAUAGUGUUUACAACUAAUUGGUCACAACCAGUUACAGGUCUCUUUAUUCCUUCUCCAUUCCCACUGCUUCACUUGACUAGCUUUAA
ensembl:misc_RNA Y_RNA Y RNA